rnacentral:misc_RNA from 1 species
GUGAAGAACGCAGUGAAAUGCGAUACUUGGUGUGAAUUGCAGAAUCCCGUGAACCAUCGAGUCUUUGAACGCAAGUUGCGCCCGAAGCCAUUAGGCCGAGGGCACGCCUGCCUGGGUGUCACACGUCGUUGCCCCCCCAUCUACUCCUUCGGGAUUGCGGGGGGCGGAUGAUGGCCUCCCGUGCGCCUCGUCGCGCGGUUGGCAUAAAUGCCAAGUCCUCGGCGACGCACGCCACGACAAUCGGUGGUUGCGAAACCUCGGUUGCCCGUCGUGUGCGGUCGUCGCGCAUCGAGGGCUCGAAAAAAUUGCCGGGCUCCGGCUCGGCUUUCAACGCGACCCCAGGUCAGGCGGGGUUACCCGCUGAGUUUAAGCAUAUCAUUAAGCGGAGGA